GAAAAUGGUUUUAUAGGCUUAACAAAAUAAAUAAAGCCUCACUCAAUACUCAUCGAAAAAUGCAAUUUUGCAUCACAUAACCUUUAAAAUGAUCAUCUCGACCUUAAUAAUUAUGAUUGUGAAAAAAAUUAGAAUAUCAAUCUCUAAAAAUAAUGUAUAUUGUAACAAAUUUCUAGACCAUUUAUUUUGCUCAAAAAAUAAAUAUUCACAUAUCUGCAAGAUCUAUACCCUUUUUUUACUUACAAAUUUCAUAAUCAUAUUAGAAAAAUGAUUUUAGUGCCUUUAUAAAAAAUAUUUAUGCCCUGAGAACUUUCAAAUUUCAUAGUCAUAUUAGAAAAAUGAUUUUAGUGCCAUCAUGAAAAAAUUUUAUACCCUAAGUACUUUCAUACGAGAAUAUGAAGUGAGGCUUU
rnacentral:lncRNA from 1 species